rnacentral:rRNA from 1 species
GUGCACGCCUGAGCUCUUAAAUCCACAACACACCUGUGAACCCACCGUAGGCCUUCGGGCUUAUGUAUCAUAUACUCUGAAUGUGUCAUAGAAUGUUCAUGUUGCCUUAAAACGCAAUCAAAUACAACUUUCAACAACGGAUCUCUUGGCUCUCGCAUCGAUGAAGAACGCAGCGAAAUGCGAUAAGUAAUGUGAAUUGCAGAUUUUCAGUGAAUCAUCGAAUCUUUGAACGCACCUUGCGCUCCUUGGUAUUCCGAGGAGCAUGCCUGUUUGAGUGUCAUUAAAUUCUCAACCCCACCGAUUUGUUUUGGGGGGAUUGGACUUGGAGUGUGCUGGCGAAGGUCGGCUCCUCUUUAAAUGCAUCAGUGGAGAGAAACUUGCCCCAGUGUGAUAAUCCUGUUGUGCUGUGGUGGGUGAAAGUCUGCUUUCAACUGUCCUCCGGGACGAUACACCAUCUUAUUUUGACCUCAAAUCAGGUAGGACUACCCGCUGAACUUAAGCAUAUCAAUAAGCGGA